UACGGAGGGUGCGAGCGUUGUCCGGAAUCACUGGGCGUAAAGGGCGCGUAGGCGGCCAGCACAAGUCAGUUGUGAAAUCUCCGAGCUUAACUCGGAAAGGUCAACUGAUACUGUGCGGCUAGAGUGGCAGAAGGGGCAACUGGAAUUCUUGGUGUAGCGGUGAAAUGCGUAGAUACCAAGAGGAACACCUGCGGCGAAGGCGGGUUGCUGG
rnacentral:rRNA from 1 species